UGAUAGAAUUACAUUCCGACAUAUAAUAGUAUCACGUACCAUGGAGAUAUAUUAUAUGUUCUGAAUGUAAUUCUAUCACUGUUACCAUGGAGAUACUAUUAUAUGUCCUGAAUGUAAUUCUAUCACUGUCUGUCUCCAUCUUCUUCCCACUUGAAGGAAUAAACAUCUAUAAUGAAUGAAGCCUGUGAGAGUCUGGUGUUUUGUUCUCAUGGUGUUUAAAUGUAACCAGUGACUCAAAAUGUUCCAAUUCAACAUUAAACAACGUUAUUUGAGCUAAAAUAUAAAGGAUUGAAAGCAUUAUUUUAGUGUUCAGUUAUUCAUUCAAACUUUGCCAUGACUAUGUGUCAAACCAGUCCAGCAUACACAGCUCACCAUGUCUCUAAACAUACC
rnacentral:lncRNA from 1 species